CACCGUGCUAGGCGGAACGCGUCCGUCCUGCCCGCCUGCGUCAGACCAGAUCCUGGCUUCUGGGUUCCUGACCUCGCUCGGCCUCUGCAUCAUCUGCGGGACGUUUGGGCUGUCACCUCACCUCCCUCAGCGGAAAGUGUCGGCUUAGCCUACAAAAAGGCCUCCGGGCCUGGCCUGAUGCCCACCACCAGCAGGGACAGACACAACCACAACCCCCCCACCUUCCCUUGAAGGACUGGUGACAGCAGAUGCGUCCUUGCCAGUCCUGUCCAACUCAGCUUUGGCUGGGGAGCUAAUUUUGCUGGAGGCAGGCAAAGCACUAGGAUAGGAGGCGGAACGGAACAGUGGUAAUAAAGAAUGCAGGCUUUGCAGUCAGCGGAAUCUGGGCUCUGUGUUUGGCUUUGCUACUGGGGCCUUAAGUUGAUCUCCUUCAUCUGUACAAGAGGAUGAUGUCAUCUUCCUAACAGGAUCGUGAGGAUUAAACCAGACAGUAUGUGGAAAACUCUCCAUCCCAUGCUUGGCCUUCCUCAGGAAUAAGUUUGCCAGUGGUCUCACAGACCAGGUGGUCAAAUCCACCAAAGGUUUCUGCCUGCACUAUCAGGCAUAGAAAGCUCCUUUCCAUCACAUGAUUAUAAAAAUAUUGCUUCUAUUUUCUUUCUAAUACUUUUCUUUUUUUUUACAUGUACUGAAAUAUGUUUAAGGUCAGAAAUAGGGAUCUGCCAUUACUUGUCACCCAAAUAGUUAGGCAGAGCUGUUCUAUUACCAUUUAUUCAUUUUCUUCCACUAAUUAGCAUAUUAAAAGGUGACAUUUCAAAAGUCUUAGGAACACAUGGAUUGUCUGUUGCCAGACUCCACAUGCUAAUUCAAAUAAAUAUUAGGUUGCAUUAUUCUUCACUGUGGAAUUAACAUAAUGCCACAUCCCUCUUCCUGUAAAUGCCUUGUCUACUAAAGAUAAAACACUGCAUGCUACCUUAUCCUCAAAAAGCUUAUCAUCUAAGUGGGGUGAGGAAAUAAAGAAAAGAUAUAAAUACAAAUAUAAAGGUUAAACUGUACAUAGAAACUAAAAGCAGUAGAGGAGUUUAUAGGAAUUUCAGAAAAAAAAAGCAAAAGGCCACAUGCCACCUGGAAAUGAUGCAGAGGGUACUGUCUGUGUAAUGGCCAGGGACUGUCUUCCUGAGGCCUUGACAAAUUGACCCCAUGCUGGUCCCUGCUUCCUGGGCUCUGAAAUCAGACUCUGUCCUCAAGAGAGAAUUCACUUCUUCCUUUUGGAGCAGUCUCACCAUACCAAUAUCACAAGACUGACCAAAAUCAGAAUUCCAGAUUAUGCCUUGUCAAUGAGAAAUACAUCUGCUCCAAAGACAAACUCUCUGUAGACAGAGGCCUCCGCGGCACACUCAAGUGCACUCAGAAAGCUACUCGGUGAAAACGGAAUUAGAACAAAAGGAAUCAGCUGAAUCCAGAGUUUAACGGAAAGGGCUGAGGUGGCCGGAUGCGCCCAUCUCCCCCUAGGCACAGUCUCAGCAGUGGGCCUGACCCCACGUCUGCCAGCUGAGGCUGUGGGUACUCUCGUGCGAUGUUAGGAUGGACACUGCCCACCCUGGUCUCUUCUUCACCUUUUCUAUGUUUUCACUACUGAUCAGCCUCCUGCAGAGAGACAUGUUUUUCUUUAGGGUGAUGGCAGCUCUGUGAGGGAGGAGAUAAUACAUCUCUCAUCAUUUCAGCAACAAAGAAAGAAAUCAGUGGUAGAAUGAGAGUCAUUGCUCCAUGAGCCAUGAGCACGUCUCCAGCGCGAAGCUCCUCAAUACAAGACCUCUGCAUCACGUGAACCCUUUCUCAGGGGCAAAGUCUAAAGAAUAUGAAAUGGAGAAUCUACCUGUAACACAAGUCCCAGCAUGUCAUUUCACCUGUCUCCUGCAACUGGAAAACAGAAGCAACAGAAUUUCAACUACAAAGAUGAAUUACAUUCAGGAAUGACCAAACAACAAGAAAAAGCCAACUCCAGUAAAGACAGAAAGCAAACUCAAACAACAAAUUAGUUAACAGAGAAAGCACGAGAGGACUUUAGAAUAGCAGCAUUAAUAUCUGCAGGCAGAGGUAAGCAGAUAGUUUAUCCACGAAAAGGAAUCGACUAAAGAUUAUACAAAUAUAAAGUGUUAUUAAUAAAACACUCAAUAUAUGGGCUGACCAUGGUGGUCCAUGCCUGUAAUCCCAGCACUUUGGGAGGCUGAGGUGGGAGGAUUGCUUGAGGCCAGGAGUU